rnacentral:rRNA from 1 species
GACGAACGCUGGCGGCGUGCUUAACACAUGCAAGUCGAGCGGUAAGGCCCUUUCGGGGGUACACGAGCGGCGAACGGGUGAGUAACACGUGGGUGACCUGCCCUCAGCUCUGGGAUAAGCCUGGGAAACUGGGUCUAAUACUGGAUAUGACUCCACGGUGCAUGUCGUGGGGUGGAAAGCCUUGUGCGGCUGAGGAUGGGCCCGCGGCCUAUCAGCUUGUUGGUGGGGUGAGGCCUACCAAGGCGACGACGGGUAGCCGGCCUGAGAGGGCGACCGGCCACACUGGGACUGAGACACGGCCCAGACUCCUACGGGAGGCAGCAGUGGGGAAUCUUGCGCAAUGGGCG